rnacentral:miRNA from 1 species
UGACAUAUCUGAUGGUAAAGG